rnacentral:tRNA from 1 species
GCCCAGGUAGCUCAGUUGGUAGAGCAUGCGACAGAAAAUCGCAGUGUCGUAGUGCGAUUCCACCCCUGGGCACCA